AAAAUGAUUUGGCGAAACCUUAUCUCCUGGCUCCUGCCCGUCCCGCACUGAUGGCAGCUCUGCCAUCCCCAUGGCCUCCCUCUUCGCCACGCGCUCCCUGCCCGCUCACCAGCGGCGCCACCUCCUCUUCACUUCAUCCUCCUCGCCUCCCAUCACCUCCCGCAGGUCUCUCGUUCCUCCACCGCCAUGCCGCGGCCGCGCCCGCGAGUUGCUCAACGUAAUGCCCCAGAGAGACGACGGCAGGUCUCCAAUCCCAAGAACGGAGGAACGCAGAGCAGGCUCGGCCAGAGUACGGCAUGGCUCAAACGGAGGAACUGUUCGAGGAGACACCACGACCCGGGAGGCAGGCCCGCCGGUACAGCGGGAAAGCAGCCGUGGCGUGCCAAGGCCGUGGAAGAAAGGGGACAGGGUUUUCGUAGAAGAACGUACGGACUGGGUCUCCCAUGAGAAGAAUUGGAGGAGAGGCCCGAUGGCGACUGGGGAGCAAGAAUGGCGAAGGGAUGCGAAACGCUUGACAAGAGGCAGAAAUGGAAUGUGGGCAAAAGAAUCAGAAAAUGCUGGAAACUCAAGAGAUGUGGGUAGCGGAAGAAGAAACAUGACCAAGAAAAAGAAGAGAUCAAAGGGUCGUGAGCUGGGAGGCAAGCUGAGAGUUGAGCUGGACAUGUGCUCGAAGAGAGGAGAUGUGAUGGGAGCAAUCUCACUGUAUGACUCUGCAGUUGAGGAUGGGAUCAGAUUGGGCCAGCACCACUACAAUGUGCUCCUUUACCUGUGUUCUUCUGCUGCUCUUGGUUUUGUCCAACCAGCAAAGAGUGGCAAUACCGGUAGUGGCAUCACUAGUAUCGGUCCUGCACAGAAACUUGAUUCAUCACCCAACAGAAGCUUGAGAGGUUCAGAGGAGGAGGAUGCAUCUGAAAGUCAUGUUCAAGAUGAGGAGAAAGACAAGGCUGAUCUGUUGCCUUCAGAUGAUUUAAAUGUGCAAACAGCUGUCAUACCAGUAGGAGAUGAGCUCAGAGAGUAUGCACGCGCACGAGGGUUUGAGAUAUUUGAGAAGAUGUGCGAAGAGAGAGAGAGAAUUCAAAUGAGUGAGGCUGCUCUGACUGCAAAGGCACGUAUGGCUUUGUCAAUUGGCAAUGGUGACAUGGCUUUUGAGAUUGUCAAACAAAUGAAAGACCUUGGUAUUACGCCGAAGCUGCGGUCAUAUGGUCCUGCUUUGACAGCAUUUUGCAAUACCGGUAAUGUUGAAAAAGCAUUUGAAGUGGAAGCCCAUAUGUUGGAAUCUGGAAUCACACCAGAAGAAGCUGAGUUGGAGAUGCUUCUCAGGGUUAGUGUGGUUGGCCGACGCGGAGACAAGGUGUAUUAUUUGCUGCAUAAGUUUAGGGCUGCUGUCAGACAGGUAUCUCCUUCCGCAGCUCAAUUAUUUGAGGCUUGGUUUAGUAGCCCAACAGCAUCUAAAGUUGGGAAGAGAAAGUGGGAUGCAGGUGCUAUAGCAAAGGCUAUUGAGAAUAAUGGAGGGGGUUGGCACGGGUUUGGUUGGCUAGGGAGAGGAAAAUGGAUUGUAACACGCUCGAACAUCAACAAGAAUGGUGUCUGCCUUGCUUGCAGAGAGAAGCUGACGAUUAUAGAUCUUGACCCAAAAGAAACGGAACAGUUUGCCACAUUUGUGGAAAAAUUAGCUAUCAAGAGAGAGAAGAACUCGAAUUUUGAGAAAUUCCAGAGAUGGCUUGAAAAGCAUGGACCUUUUGAAGCAGUCGUGGAUGCCGCCAAUGUUGGCCUUUUUAGCCAUAAACAUAUUUCCUUGAGUGAGGUUAAUGCUGUUGCUGAUGCUAUAAGGCAAAGUUUUACGUCAAGAAAGUGGCCUUUGAUAAUUUUACAUAACAGGCAUCUCACUGGAGAACGUAUGAAGAAACCUGGUAAUCACAAAUUGGUAGAGAAAUGGAAGCAAACAAAUUCUAUCUAUGCAACCCCUAAUGGCUCAAAUGAUGAUUGGUACUGGCUAUAUGCUUCUAUCAGAUGCAAAUGCUUGAUCAUUACCAAUGAUGAAAUGAGAGAUCACACGUUUCAGAUAUUGAAAAAGGAUUUCUUCCCCAAAUGGAAGGAAAGGCAUCAGGUACGCUUCAGUUAUGAAGACAGCUCCAUCACAUUUCAAAUGCCACCUCCAUACUCAGUUGUAAUUCAGGAAUCUGAGAAAGGCCAUCUGCAUAUCCCUGUCUCAGAGGAAGGAUUGCUAGAGGAGGACCGAACCUGGCUAUGUGUUACGCGGCGCAAUUCCCAGGCACAAUAAUCAUGAAGAUGGAGUUGAUCCAGAACUUUGAUGUGAAUAAAUUUGAACACAGAUUAACAUCCUUGUAAAGCUAAAUGUUGAUCAUCUUUUUAUGAUCAGUCAGGAUCUCUGUCAAAAUCUUAAUAAAAAAAAAGAAACAGGAUCUCUGCUAAAGGCAGAGGAUUUCCCUCUCUACAUUUUUCCUCUGGCCCAGGUGAGGAGAGGCUUCCUUACAGGAUCAGAAAAUUUGUUGUUGAGAUAGUGUUGCAUACUGACAUUGCUUCCAUUGGUGAAGUUUUACAUCCUUAUGACAUCAUGGAAAAAGAACAGACCUUGGGAGAUUUAGUUAUUAUAUGCUAUUGUAUCCUCUUGUUGCCCCUUCCUCUUCAUCCGAUUAUGCGUGGUGAAAUCCAACAUGUUCUGGUUGUUAGAUAAUCUUGCACGUUCUCA